GCCGGUGUAGCUCAGGGGUCAGAGCACCUUGUCGGUUCCGCCGGCCUCGAUCUCUGGACACCACAACUUCAUGCACCUCCCGGUGCGCGGGCGACGGCUCCUUCGUUGUGAUCGAAUCCAGGCCGCCGCCGACUUGAUCUCGGGAGGCGCAGCACGGCUGGGUGCCCGGUGCGCAGGCAGCGGAUACUUCUUUGAUCGGAGAGUUGCGGGUUCGAGUCCCGUCGUCGACU
rnacentral:tRNA from 2 species